rnacentral:rRNA from 1 species
GGGGAAGGGUAGCUUGCUACCUGACCUAGCGGCGGACGGGUGAGUAAUGCUUAGGAAUCUGCCUAUUAGUGGGGGACAACAUUCCGAAAGGAAUGCUAAUACCGCAUACGCCCUACGGGGGAAAGCAGGGGAUCUUCGGACCUUGCGCUAAUAGAUGAGCCUAAGUCAGAUUAGCUAGUUGGUGGGGUAAAGGCCUACCAAGGCGACGAUCUGUAGCGGGUCUGAGAGGAUGAUCCGCCACACUGGGACUGAGACACGGCCCAGACUCCUACGGGAGGCAGCAGUGGGGAAUAUUGGACAAUGGGCGAAAGCCUGAUCCAGCCAUGCCGCGUGUGUGAAGAAGGCCUUUUGGUUGUAAAGCACUUUAAGCGAGGAGGAGGCUACUGAGAUUAAUACUCUUGGAUAGUGGACGUUACUCGCAGAAUAAGCACCGGCUAACUCUGUGCCAGCAGCCGCGGUAAUACAGAGGGUGCUAGCGUUAAUCCGGAUUUACUGGGCGU